rnacentral:rRNA from 1 species
UAUCUCUGUAGAGUCUGCAUAUCAAUAAGCGGAGGAAAAGAAACUAACAAGGAUUCCCUUAGUAACGGCGAGUGAAGCGGGAAGAGCUCAAAUUUGAAAUCUUCAAGGUUCUACCUUGACGAAUUGUAGUUUAAAGAAGUGUUUUCUGUUAGAUGAGUAGCAAAAGUUCCUUGGAAUGGGACAUCAUAGAGGGUGAGAAUCCCGUAUUUGGUUAUUCAUUCUAGCUUUGUGAUACACUUUCAAAGAGUCGGAUUGUUUGGGAAUGCAGUCCAAAAUGGGUGGUAAAUUUCAUCUAAAGCUAAAUAUUGGCGAGAGACCGAUAGCGAACAAGUACCGUGAGGGAAAGAUGAAAAGAACUUUGAAAAGAGAGUUAAACAGUACGUGAAAUUGUCAAAAGGGAAGCGUUUGACACCAGUGUUGUUUUUCCGAAAAUCAAUUACGAAUGGCUUGAUUUUGUGUUGUAUUGACCUUAUCAGCUUUCUUCACUUUUUUCGAGUUUUUCUUAAUGCACUUUUUCGGUUAACAAGUCAACAUCAAUUUCUUUUGUUGUAAAAGAGUAUUCGGAAGGUGGCUUUCUUUUCGGAGAAAGUGUUUAUAGCCCUAUACUUCUACAAUCGGAGAGAUUGAGGUCUGCAGCGUAGAUCCUUCGGGGUUAGAUACACUUGUGCUAAGUUGUAGCUUUUCAUAGACAACUUGUUGACUAUGUUUAGUCAUGCGGCUUACUCGCUUGUGCUAUUUUACCUACGCUUAGGAUGUUGACUGAUAUGUAGUCGUA